UGCCACACCUACAGAUCAAUUUUCAUCAACACAAUCACUGCUCGUUUGAGGAUCCCUAACAAAAACAUGUUCCUUGGCAAUAGCCCUCUUAGUUGACACAACAAACAUUUGUCACCACAAAAUUUCACCUCCAUAAAAGGACUCAGACAGUUUUUAGAAGUUGAUUUAACUGGGUUUGGCAUCUCUGUGCAAGAGGAGGGCACAGCUAGUUGACCGUCCUCAUCAGAGAAGUAAAACUUUCAAAGGGACCAGUCCAGAAGAGAAGCUUUCAGACAUGUUGUGGAGCAGCAGUCCUCCACCCUGGCUGCCUGUCAACGUUACCUGUGGAGCUUUUAGAUAUACAAACGCCAGCUCCAGCUUCUGAGUUCCUGGCAGCAGGGCCCUGGGCAUCUGUAUGUUUAAACAACCUCCCAGGGAUGCUGAUGCACAGCCAGGGCUGCGCGCCAUGGCUGGAGAAGAAUCAUUUCAUGGAAUUCACCAGAAGAGAAGUAACCAUUUUUUUUCACAAGUGGAAGAGCAGAGUUAAAUAUGCCAUGAUGUGUGGAGGAAUCCAUGCCAAUGUAUCCUCCUCGUGCUUUUAGUUUGUAAGUAUCGGAUCUAUCACAACUGCUAACGGGGAAUGUGAGAAAAUGAAAUAACAUCCUCGAGAAUCGCACUUCCUGGCAGUGCAUUUCCUUAGCAGCAGAGCCUGGAUGUGGAUUAAAGGAAAUAGGAUUAGAAAGAAAAAAUGUAGAACAAGAUCCUGAGCUUUUUAAAGGAUGCUCAAUUAUGUUGGUUCAGACUGUGGGUCAAAGUGACACCAAUGAGUGGUUAAAAAAAAUCCUCGAUCAUUUCUCUAAUGAUUAGAGAUGUUGAGCAUUUUUUAAAAUAUGUUUGCUGGCCAUUAUUCUGUCUUCUUUGGAAAAGUUUCUGUUCAUUUCCAUUGCCCAUUUAUUGAUGGAGUUUGUUUGAUUUUUUUCUUGUUGAUUCUUUUAAGUUCUAGAUAGAUUCUUGUUAUCAGACCUUUAUCAGAUGUGUAGAGAGCAAAUAUUUUCUCCCAUUUUGCAGGUUGUCUAUUUGCUCUAAUGAUAGUUUCUUUGCCUGUGUAGAAGCUUUAAAAAUAUAUAUUUGAUCAAAUGAGUUGUUCAGAAGCAUCCUGGCAUAGCAUAGAAGCUGAGUAGUGUUCUUGAAGCCAACAGAGUACAGGGACCUCCAACCUAUGUGAAUUGUAUAAUCAUUUCAUUAUAUAUUAUAAUAUAAUAAUAGAAAUAAAGUGCACAAUAAAUGUAAUGUGCUUAAAUCAUCCUGAAACCAUCUCUCCCUAUACCCAGGUCCAUGGAAAAAUUGCCUUCCAUGAAACCAGUCCCUGGUGCCAAAAAGUUGGGGACCACUGGAACAGAGAGAUUUGGAAUGAAGAGCUGUCUCUAGCAAAAUAAAGUCAAUGACAGAAACAUGUGAAAAACUUCUUGGAGGGUUUUGUAUAGUACAACUUCAAUUGAUUGCUUUAAUUUUAGCUUUGUGAAUAUACAGCUCAUAUGAAAUAAAGAAAAAAUGUUGCAGAGUUCGUGUCAUUGAUAUCAUCUACCACCAGUUUGUCCAUUAGAUUACAGUAUAUUUUUGUAACUUUGAAUUUACUAUGCAUAGAAUUAAAAAUUUUUAAAUUUAAAAUUUAUUCAUGUUAAAUUAGUUUAAACGUGUAUAUUUUAAACUAAUAACAUGCAUAUUUUGAACUCUAGGGAUAGUGGGAGGGAGGAUGUGGUUACUUGAUACAAAAACAGUGAAGAUGAGUUUGUUUUUCAACUCUUGGAAUUACAGUCAUGGAAGGAAAUGGGACAGUGUUUAGCUAGUCAUUGAAAGCACCUGUCUCAUGUUUGAGCCGCUUGGCAGGUUUGUGGAUGUAUUAAUAAUAUAUUCAGUGGGAAUAGAAGUCCUUUCUGGUGACAGAUAGUCAAUUUAAUUACUAGACUAUGUGGUAUAUCUGGAUAUGUUGUGAUUUUCAUGCUGAACAUCACUCUGACAACUCGAAGAUUUAUGUUUUUAGAAAACACCCUAAGUGGGGUUAAUUUUAUGGCUGUCACUUAAGUUGAGCCAGGUGUAUUUCCUCAUUUAUCAUCGUCUGCCUUUUGCUCUUUAUGGUUUAGUGUUGUUGAGUGAUGUCUCUCCAAAAAUUCGAAGAUCUUCCUUUCGUCAGGAUGGCUGUGCCUGCCUGAUGUCUCUAGGGUGAUUGUUUGGAUUGAUUUGACAAUAAUCCUAUUAGGAGGAGGGAGGGUAGACCAGGUCUAGGAAAUUUCUAAUAUUUUUUUAGUUAACCACAUAUGAAAUUCUAUAAAUGUGGUUAGAAAUGGGAGUCAGUUUAGAUUACUCCCAUGCUCUCCCCCCUUCAUUUGUCCCCAGGGCUUACUUAUCCACUGUAGCUUUGAGCACCUCUUGAAUCCGUCCCCCCGGUGGGCGUCUUACACAGACAGUGACCAUUUUUUCUCUUGAACCAUGUCAUUAGCUUCAUAUCUGGUUUCCCUGACGUGACUCUUGCCAGAGUACAUCUGACCAUGUUGCUCUGUAACACUUAGUAUUCUUUUGGCAGCAUAAUGAUAGAAAACUUGAACCAAAGCAGCUUAUACAAAAAAAAAAAAAAAGGAAUUUAUUGGCUCAUGAAACUGAUUUGUGCAGGGGUAGGUCUCAGGAGAGAGAGGCUCCACAUGGCCACAGAGGAAGGUUCUAAAACUUCUCUCUGGGUCUGCUGGCUUAUGUAAUAAGCUUUGUGAGACUCACAGGAAGGUGCUUUUCCCUUAAGUAAAAAACAUUUGCAUGCACUUCCCUUCUCUAAUAA
rnacentral:lncRNA from 1 species